rnacentral:rRNA from 1 species
UACGAGCGCACCCUUAUCCUUAGUUGCCAGCGGUUCGGCCGGGUAACUCUCAGGAGUCUGCCGGUGAUCAACCGGAGGCAGGUGGGGAUGCCGUCAAGUCAUCAUGGCCCUUAUGGGCAGGGCUACACACGUGCUACAAUGGCCGGUACAGAGGGGCGCGAACCUGCGAAGGUAAGCAAAUCCCAGAAAGCCGGUCCUAGUCCGGAUUGGAGUCUGCAACUCGACUCCAUGAAGUCGGAAUCGCUAGUAAUCGCGGAUCAGAAUGCCGCGGUGAAUACGUUCCCGGGCCUUGUACACACCGCCCGUCACACCAUGGGAGUGGGCUGUACCAGAAGUAGGUAGUCUAACCUUCGGGAGGACGCUUACCACGGUGUGGUUCAUGACUGGGGUGAAGUCGUAACAAGGUAGCCCUAGGGGAACCUGGGGCUGGAUCA